rnacentral:rRNA from 1 species
CCUACGGGAGGCAGCAGUGAGGAAUUUUGCGCAAUAGGGGAAACCCUGACGCAGCAACGCCGCGUGAGUGAAGAAGGCCCUCGGGUCGUAAAGCUCUGUCAAGUGGGAAAAAAGCUUACUGGUAAAUAGCCAGCAAGACUGAUGGUACCAUUGAAGGAAGCACCGGCUAACUCCGUGCCAGCAGCCGCGGUAAUACGGAGGGUGCAAGCGUUGUUCGGAAUUACUGGGCGUAAAGGGCGUGUAGGCGGUGUGGUAAGUCAGAUGUGAAAGCCCUGGGCUUAACCCAGGAAGUGCAUUUGAAACUGCCAUGCUUGAGUAUGGGAGAGGAGAGUGGAAUUCCCAGUGUAGAGGUGAAAUUCGUAGAUAUUGGGAGGAACACCCGUGGCGAAGGCGACUCUCUGGACCAAUACUGACGCUGAGGCGCGAAAGCGUGGGGAGCAAACAGGAUUAGAUACCCUGGUAGUCCACGCUGUAAACGAUGAGCACUAGGUGUAGCGGGUAUUGACCCCUGCUGUGCCGUAGCUAACGCAUUAAGUGCUCCGCCUGGGGAGUACGGCCGCAAGGCUAAAACUUAAAGGAAUUGACGG